rnacentral:misc_RNA from 1 species
UUUCCGUAGGUGAACCUGCGGAAGGAUCAUUACAGAGUUCAUGCCCUCACGGGUAGAUCUCCCACCCUUGAAUAUUUAUACCUUAGUUGCUUUGGCAGGCCGUGGAAACACCAUGGGCUCCGGCUUAUGCGUGCCUGCCAGAGGAAACAAACUCUGGUUUUAGUGAUGUCUGAGUACUAUAUAAUAGUUAAAACUUUCAACAACGGAUCUCUUGGUUCUG